CAGAGUGUGACACACUGAGGUGAGGUAAAGGUAGAGAGGGGCAGCACAGAGGGUCCGCAGGUAUUCACUGAGAGCCGGUGGAUGGUCACUUUACCUUUUGGCUGUCCAGCCUCAGCCAGUGGAUGCCCUGUCUCGUAUAGCGGACCACAGAGCUCAUACUGGAAGUCAGGCUUAAUGCCCCCAGGGCUGAGUCCAGCUCUGCCAGCAACCCUGGAACACACAGAGGUGAACGCCACUUGUCCGAUGGCCUGAGGAACCGCCACAGUGCCGCCGACAGGGUCCGCCACCAACCCGCUGUGGCUGGAGCCGGGACCUGAGCUGCUGGGCGUGUUGGCUGGAGAAGGGAACAGAGACUUGGACGGUUCAUCUGAGGUCGGUGUGUGUAUGGCUGUCAGGAGAGGAGGCCAUGAGUCGGUCAUUUCCUAUGUGGUGGGAUAAAAAGAAUGUGAUGUUCAAGGAGCCUACAGACAGCCUGCAGACGGCCCAACUACCAUACAGGCAUCACUCUUCAUAAAAUAAGCGUUACAGCAUGCAGCUGUAGCAACCGUAAAGGAGAGUUGUAACAGCUGGACUUACCCCCAAGAUGUCCUCGACACACUGAACCUCAUCCGUCCCUGUCUGUAGAAAAGUAAUUCAUAAAUUAACGGUUCAAAAGACCUGAAGGCAAUUACCACUUAACACAACAAACGUGUUAAGGGCUGAUAUUUCACAGAGCAAACCCUCUAUGUGAUUUCACAUGUCCAACAGGUUCAAUAAUAAAGCAAAAUACAUAAA